rnacentral:rRNA from 1 species
AUUGAACGCUGGCGGCAGGCUUAACACAUGCAAGUCGAGCGGGGUGAGGUGCUUCGGUACUGAUCCUAGCGGCGGACGGGUGAGUAAUGCUUAGGAAUCUGCCUAUUAGUGGGGGACAACAUUCCGAAAGGAAUGCUAAUACCGCAUACGUCCUACGGGAGAAAGCAGGGGAGCUUCGGACCUUGCGCUAAUAGAUGAGCCUAAGGCGGAUUAGCUAGUUGGUGGGGUAAAGGCCUACCAAGGCGACGAUCUGUAGCGGGUCUUAGAGGAUGAUCCGCCACACCGGGACUGAGACACGGCCCAGACUCCUACGGGAGGCAGCAGUGGGGAAUAUUGGACAAUGGGCGGAAGCCUGAUCCAGCCAUGCCGCGUGUGUGAAGAAGGCCUUUUGGUUGUAAAGCACUUUAAGCGAGGAGGAGGCUACCUAGAUUAAUACUCUGGGAUAGUGGACGUUACUCGCAGAAUAAGCACCGGCUAACUCUGUGCCAGCCGCCGCGGUAACAC